GAUGAAGAACGCAGCGAAAUGCGAUAAGUAAUGUGAAUUGCAGAAUUCAGUGAAUCAUCGAAUCUUUGAACGCACAUUGCGCCCGCCAGUAUUCUGGCGGGCAAGCCUGUUCGAGCGUCAUUUCAACCAUCAAGCCCUGCUUGCGUUGGGGUCCUGCGGCUGCCCGCAGGCCCUGAAAACCAGUGGCGGGCUCGCUAGUCACACCGAGCGCAGUAAUACAUCUCGCUUUGGGCGUGCGGCGGGUUCUUGCCGUUAAACACCCCCUUUUUACCAAGGUUGACCUCGGAUCAGGUAGGAAUACCCGCUGAACUUAAGCAUAUCAAUAAGCGGAGGA
rnacentral:misc_RNA from 1 species